GUGCCUGAAACUAAUGAGUAAGGAAUUUAUAAGACCUUAUUGACCUAGGGUCUUCAUAGACUGCCCUUCUAGGGUGUCUCGGCAUAAUUUUUGAAAGGGUUUAGGUCCAAUUAAAUGCGUGACUUGCCUACUUUAGUAAGUUGCCUUUAAUUGCUGACUUGCCCU
rfam:Tetranychus urticae London genomic scaffold, scaffold_12